rnacentral:rRNA from 1 species
CUGGCUCAGGAUGAACGCUAGCGACAGGCUUAACACAUGCAAGUCGAGGGGCAGCAUAAAAGUAGCAAUACUUGGUGGCGACCGGCGCACGGGUGAGUAACGCGUAUGCAACCUACCUAUCAGAGGGGAAUAACCCGGCGAAAGUCGGACUAAUACCGCAUAAAACAGGGGCACCGCAUGGUGAUAUUUGUUAAAGAAAUUCGCUGAUAGAUGGGCAUGCGUUCCAUUAGGUAGUUGGUGAGGUAACGGCUCACCAAGCCGACGAUGGAUAGGGGAACUGAGAGGUUGGUCCCCCACACUGGUACUGAGACACGGACCAGACUCCUACGGGAGGCAGCAGUGAGGAAUAUUGGUCAAUGGGCGGGAGCCUGAACCAGCCAAGUCGCGUGAAAGGAAGAAGGAUCUAUGGUUCGUAAACUUCUUUUGCAGGGGAAUAAAGUGCAGGACGUGUCCUGUUUUGUAUGUACCCUGAGAAUAAGGAUCGGCUAACUCCGUGCCAGCCGCUGC